rnacentral:rRNA from 1 species
AUACGUAGGUCCCGAACGUUGCGCGAAAUUACUGGGCGUAAAGGGUCCGUAGGCGGUCUGGUAAGUGGAAGGUGAAAGCCUGGGGCUCAACUCCAGAAUUGCCUUCCAAACUGCCGGACUUGAGGCAGGGAGAGGUGGGCGGAAUUCCCGGUGUAGUGGUGAAAUGCGUAGAUAUCGGGAGGAACACCAGUGGCGAAGGCGGCCGACUGGAACUGUCCUGACGCUGAGGGACGAAAGCCAGGGGAGCGAACCGGAUUAGAAACCCUAGUAGUCC